UGCUGAAUGCUGUUUCUUGGAUUCCAAACCUGCUGCUCCAAGAUACUCAUAUGUAUCACAACUGAUUCGUCCUGUUACAAGGCAAGAAAUUCACCUGGGUUUUCGUGUUUCAAGUUUCUGCAUUCAAUGUAUAAUGGACUCCGGUAUUUGGUCAUGCUUUCCUGUUGUGCUGUAUGAUUGGGUGGGUGCACCUUGUGGGUGCAAGUUUCUUUGGGUUUCCGUAAAGAUGUAUAUUGGUCUGAGCUUCACUGUGAAACAGUAACCCUCUUAUUGAUCUAACAGAGCUUUGCCAUUUCUUAUCCAAAAAAAAGGCUUGUAGAUUCCUGGGACCCC
rnacentral:lncRNA from 1 species